rnacentral:rRNA from 1 species
UACGAAGGGGGCUAGCGUUGCUCGGAAUCACUGGGCUUAAAGGGCGCGUAGGCGGGUUCUCAAGUCCGGGGUGAAAUCCCACAGCUCAACUGUGGAACUGCCUCGGAUACUGGGGGCCUCGAGGGUGGUAGGGGUAUGCGGAACUAUCGGUGGAGCGGUGAAAUGCGUAGAUAUCUGGAGGAACACCGGUGGCGAAGGCGGCAUCCUGGACCGGCAUUGACGCUGAGGCGCGAAAGCCAGGGGAGCAAACGGG